GUGGUUAAUAAGGUGGCCUCUGGACAGU
rnacentral:piRNA from 1 species